rnacentral:tRNA from 1 species
GCCGGGGUGGCGGAAUUGGCAGACGCGCGUGGUUUAGGACCACGUUCCUCACGGAGUGCAGGUUCAACUCCUGUCCCCGGCA